rnacentral:rRNA from 1 species
UUGGAAGUAAAAGUCGUAACAAGGUUUCCGUACGUGAACCUACGGAAGGGUCAUUG